UAUGUUUCCCGAGCUGACAUGACUCACACUCUAAUGUGGAUAAACUGGACAAACGAGGCACCAUCUUCUGAAGUUUGGACAAGCUAGGAUGUCCUACACGACUGUGAAGUAGGCCUGGAGGAUCGACAGCUAGACAGGCCUUAGAGGAUGUUAGUGAGUUAAGGUAGUAGACUCCGUCUGAUUCAAGUCCUGUUCCAAUCGUCUGUCCCGUACUGCGAUCCUGCAUAAUAAAAG
rnacentral:lncRNA from 1 species